AUUGAUGUCAGCACCGGACCAAUGAAAGGAUGGUGGGCGGAACUGGAGGACCUAGCGGGAGGUUGGUCCUCCAACCAAUCAAAGUGAAUGAAGGGCGGAGCUAAACAACCAUGUGAUCACCCUCGCGCGCGGCGCAGAGUCGCUGUAAUGAAUGUUCGGGAAGUUAUGGAGAGAAAGGGUACGGAUAUUAAAUCAGAAUAAUUGAGGCUGGGAUCUCAAAAGCAAGUUUUUACAGUCAAUAGAGUCAUCAGGAUCUGAAUAUCAUUGGCAUUUAACUGUGGAAGGAGAAAGAUUGUAUUCAAUUCCGAUGCCACCAUCAGCCAUGUUGGGAUUCUAUCCCUAAUCCUCGGAACAUUGCAC